GUUGACCUGCCCAAUGAUUUUAAUUAAAUGGCUGCAGUAUUUUGACUGUACAAAGGUAGCAUAAUCAUUUGUCUUUUAAUUGGAGUCUAGAAUGAAUGGUUUGAUGAAAAAUAUACUUUCUUUCUUUUAUAGAAAAAAUUUAAUUUUUAAGUUAAAAAGCUUAAAUAUAAUUGUAGGACGAGAAGACCCUAUAGAACUUUAUUUUUAAAUUUAUAUAAUAUAUAUAGUAUAUAUAUUAUUUUAUAUAAAUAUGAAAUUAUAUUGGGGUGAUAGAAAAAAAUUAAUAACUUUUUUUGGUUUUUUCAUUUAUUUAUGAAAUCUUUGAUCCUUUAUUAUGGAAAAAAGAUCAAGUUACCUUAGGGAUAACAGCGUUAUUAUUUUGGAGAGUUCUUAUUGAUAAAAUAGUUUGCGACCUCGAUGUUGGAUUAUAAUUAGGUAUAGGGGCAUAAUAUUAUAUUUUAGGUCUGGUCGACCUUUAAACUUUUACAUGAUC
rnacentral:rRNA from 1 species